UAAAAUUGAUGCAAGAGCCUUGCAAGGUUUUGGUUGACAUACCGGGUAAUGAAUGUCUAUUGAGACAUCACGACGGUUGUCACGGGCUCGAAGGGAGUACCGGGUCGUGACAUUUGCCUUGUGCACAACAACCAUAGCAUCCAUUUCUAUCCUGAGUUUAGAGAAAUUAUAAUCUUGACAUAACAACAAUCAUUUUUGUAAGGCAAGUAAUUCGGCUAUUAGAGAGUUACAAGAACCAAAGUUUUCAGAAAAAUCGAAUAAAAGCGUACUUGUGUGGUCUCGAACUAUUCCUCCCCCACAACAUGAUGAUGUUGAAGUUUAGAACUACAUCUACAUUUAUCUUGAUUUCAUCAAGGCUUGGACUCAAUAGUUGCAAGUAAAGGAAUGUUUACAAUGAAUUAUUUUUUUGAGACAUAUGUAGUAAACCUAUCAUUAUAGACAACUUCUUU
rnacentral:lncRNA from 1 species